UGCCUGUUUUUGAGAAGGACUUCACUUUGUAA
rnacentral:piRNA from 1 species